rnacentral:rRNA from 1 species
AUAUGGUCAAGCGAAUACGGGUCUAUGGGGGAUGCCUAGGAGCUCUCUGGCGAGGAAGGCCGUGGUAAGCUGCGAAAAGCUUGGGGGAGGAGCACACAUCCUGAGAUCCCGAGGUGGCCGAAUGGGGUAACCUGGCGGGCUGGAAUGUCCGUCGGCCGCAGGUGAAUACAUAGCCUGUGGUAGCGAGACCCAGGGAACUGAACCAUCUCAGUACCUGGAGGAGAAGAAAUCAAGAAGAGAUUCCCUGAGUAGUGGCGAGCGAAAGGGGAGGAGCCUAAACCUGGUGCGUGUACAAGCCGUGUGGCGUUGCGCGACUGGGGGUUGUAAGACUGUGCGGGGUCUGGCACACGACGGGCCGCGGGGUUGGAGAAAACUCACGGGUAGGGGAAGCCUACUGGGAAGGGGCACCGGAGAAGGUGAGAGUCCUGUACCCGAAACUUGUGAGUCCCCGUGCGCGCAGUUCUUGAGUACGACGGGGCACGAGGAACCCUGUCGGAAGCGGGGUCGACCACGAUCCAAGGCUAAAUACAAGAGAGCUACCGAUAGGGAAGAGUACCGUGAGGGAACGGUGAAAAGAACCCCGGUGAGGGGAGUGAAAGAGAACCUGAAACCAUAGACCUACAAGCUGUCAGAGCCCUUCGCAAGGGGGGUGAUGGCGUGCCUUUUGUAGAAUGAGCCUGCGAGUUACGGUACGUAGCGAGGUUAAGGGAUGGGAGUCCUGGAGCCGUAGGGAAACCGAGUCUGAAGAGGGCGAGCAGUUGCGUGCCGUAGACCCGAAGCCGAGUGAUCUAGGUAUGGCCAGGCUGAAGCGUGGGUAACACCAUGUGGAGGGCCGAACUCUAAUCCGUUAAAAAGGGUAGGGAUGAGCUGUGCCUAGGAGUGAAAGGCUAAACAAACUCGGAGAUAGCUGGUACUCGCCGAAAUAGCUUUAGGGCUAGCCUCAGCUGGACUGUGGGGGAGGUAAAGCACUGGAUGGACUAGGGGGCUUCACCGUCUACCAAAUCCAACCAAACUCUGAAUGCCUCUACAGGGUAGCUGGGAGUCAGACUACGGGCGACAAGGUUCGUGGUCGAGAGGGGGACAGCCCAGACCGUUGGCUAAGGUCUCGAAACGGAGCUCAGUGGGAAAGGAAGUGCCACUGCGAAGACAGCCAGGAGGUUGGCUUAGAAGCAGCCAUCCCUUGAAAGAGUGCGUAACAGCUCACUGGUCGAGUAGUGGUGCGCCGAUAAUGUAACGGGGCUAAGCUCUGUACCGAAGCCACGGGAUAGGAGGGAACUUCUAUCGGUAGGCGAGCAUUCCGUGGACCGGAGAAGGGGAGGUGAGAGCCUCUCUGGAGGGGACGGAAGGGAGAAUGCAGGCAUGAGUAACGAAAAGAGGGGUGAGAGUCCCCUCCGCCGAAAACCCGAGGGUUCCUGGGUAAAGGUCGUCUGCCCAGGGUUAGUCGGCCCCUAAGGUGAGGCCGAAAGGCGUAGCUGAUGGGAAACGGGUUCAUAUUCCCGUACCUCUUACAACUUCGAGGGGAUGACGCAUGGGGCGAAGCCCGGCCGGAGGCUGGUAGGUCCGGUCUAAGUUUCCGAGCCGAUGAGGGUAGUAGGGAAAGCCGCUACUGGAGGUGAGGGGCGAAGGCGAGCGGAGCGAUGAGCGAAGCGAAGCGGGUGUAGUCGGGGUGCCGAGAAAUAAUCUCUAAGGCUAGGUUGUAAGGGACCGUACCGCAAACCGACACAGGUGGGUGGGAUGAGGAUUCUAAGGCGCUCGAGAGAACUCGCGUUAAGGAACUCGGCAACAUGCACACGUAACUUCGGGAGAAGUGUGGCCCUCUGGGGGGGAAGCCUUCUGGGGGGUUGCAGAGAAAUGGCCCAAGCGACUGUUUAUCAAAAACACAGGUCUCUGCGAAAUCGUAAGAUGAGGUAUAGGGACUGACACCUGCCCGGUGCCGGAAGGUUAAGAGGAGGGGUUAGCUGCUGAGGCGAAGCCCUGAAUUGAAGCCCCGGUAAACGGCGGCCGUAACUAUAACGGUCCUAAGGUAGCGAAAUUCCUUGUCGGGUAAGUUCCGACCCGCACGAAUGGUGUAACGACUUGGGCGCUGUCUCAACGCGAGGCUCGGUGAAAUUAAAGUACCAGUGAAGAUGCUGGUUACCCGUGGUUAGACGGAAAGACCCCGUGAACCUUUACUGUAACUUGGCAUGGAGACUUGGCCCGGGAUGUGUAGGAUAGGUGGGAGACUGGGAAGCGUGGGCGUCAGCCUGCGUGGAGUCGUCGGUGAAAUACCACCCUUUUCGGGUUAGGUUUCUAACGGGUGUCCGGGAGCGGGCAUCUGGACAGUGUCAGGCGGGCAGUUUGACUGGGGCGGUCGCCUCCUAAAGAGUAACGGAGGUGCGCGAAGGUUCCCUUGCGCUGGUCGGAAAUCAGCGUGUACGUGCAAAGGCAAAAGGGAGCUUGACUGCGAGACCUACAAGUCGAGCAGGGACGAAAGUCGGUCUUAGUGAUCUGGCGGUGGCGAGUGGAAGCGCCGUCACUUAACGGACAAAAGGUACUCCGGGGAUAACAGGCUGAUCUUGCCCAAGAGUUCAUAUCGACGGCAAGGUUUGGCACCUCGAUGUCGGCUCAUCGCAUCCUGGGGCUGGAGCAGGUCCCAAGGGUUUGGCUGUUCGCCAAUUAAAGCGGUACGUGAGCUGGGUUCAGAACGUCGCGAGACAGUUCGGUCCCUAUCUGCCACGGGCGUUGGAUGGUUGAGAGGAGCUGCUUUUAGUACGAGAGGACCGAAGUGGACGAACCUCUGGUGUACCAGUUAUCGUGCCAACGGUAAGUGCUGGGUAGCCAAGUUCGGACGGGAUAACCGCUGAAGGCAUCUAAGUGGGAAGCCCCCCUCGAGAUGAACCAUCCCUGGCGCAUCAGCGCCCUGAAGGAACGAGACAGAAGAUCUCGUGGAUAGGCGGGAGGUGGAAGCGUGGUAACACGUGCAGCCGACCCGUACUAAUCAUCCGUGAGGCUUGACCAUAU